rnacentral:misc_RNA from 1 species
UUUCCGUAGGUGAACCUGCGGAAGGAUCAUUAAUUAUAUAAGGCCACGGGGCAAGCUUUCCGAAAGGAUCGUGCUUGCUGUGUGAACCCUACCUACCCUUGCUUUUUGCGUACCCAUUGUUUCCUCGGCAGGCUUGCCUGCCAGUAGGACCCUCUUAAACCCUUUGUAAUUGCAGUCAGCGUCAGAAACAACGUAAUCGUUACAACUUUCAACAACGGAUCUCUUGGUUCUG